rnacentral:lncRNA from 10 species
AAGAGCUUCUGCACAGCAAAAGAAACUAUCAUCAGAGUGGAUAUGGCUCCUCUUUCUUUCCGCCAUGGUGAUGGGCGAUUAUGCCCAAGAGCGGCUGCUUCAUUUGCCUGGCACAGGAGUGAGGGUGACAAUGCAGAGAUCCAGCCACCCAGCAAUGGGCCGAGGCGGGUGGAUCACCUGAGGUCAAGAGUUCCAGACCAGCCUGGCCAAUAUGGUGAAACCUUGUCUCUACUAAAACUACAAAAAUUAGCAGGGUGGGGUGGCAGGCGCCUGUAAUCCGAGCUACUCGGGAGACUAGGACUACAGGUGCUCACCACCGCGCUUGGCUAAUUUUUAUAUUUUUACAAAGCUUUAAAUAAAAAUUGCUUAAAGCUGAAAACUGGGUGGGCGCAGUGGCUCACGCCUGUAAUCCUACCACUUUGGGAGGCUGAGGUGGACAGAUCACUUGAGCCCAGGAGUUCGAGAUCAGCUUGGGCAACGUGAUGAAAUACGAUCUCUACAAAAAAUACAAAAAUUAGCCAAGCAUAGAGGUACACACCUGUAGUCCCAGAUACUCCACUGAGGUGGGAGGAUCACCUGAGCCUGGAGAGGUUGAGGGUUCAGUGAGGUGCGAUCGCACCAAUGCACUCCAGCCUGGGCGACAGAGUGAGAUACUGUCUCAAAAAACAUGAAAAUGAAAAAUAAAAAAUAAAAGCUGAAAAAUUUAUAUUUAAUAUUUUGAAAACUUAAAUCUUAUUGCAUAUUAUUAUUAAAUAACUUUUCCCAGUUCUAGUGUUCAAUGUCAGUCUAAUUGCUCAUCUAAAGGACUGAUAGUACAACAUACAUUUUGUGUCUCGAUCUUAUAUACAAAUUAGAGAGUGAUACAAAUUGUUUAAAUGGCUAAAUGUUCCUCAGCUACAGUGAGUAGCCAUAUUGGUCUCUUUUAAAAAUUUUUAUUAUUUUUAUUUAAACAAAGUUUUAAUUUUUUUUGUAGAGACAGGGUCUCAUUAUGUUGCCCAGGCUGGUCAGCCACAAGUGAUCCUCCUGCCUCAGUCUCCCAAAGUUCUGGGAUUGUAGGCAUGAACUAACACGCCUGACCCAUAUUACUCUCUAACUCAUGAGUAUGUCUGGAGGCACAAUUUGGAACAUGAGGAGAAACAGAUAAAUGGACUCUCAGCACUUCUGAGAAAUGAUACUUGUUAUACAAGAAUCUGCUGCAUUCAGCCUCCCUGAGAAGAGGAAUUUAAGAAUUAAUUUCUGCUUCCUCUUACUUAAGUGUUUCAACACUCAAGUCCUUUGCAUACUCUGAAGCAAUGGGUGUCUCCAACAUUGGUAGCGGCUGCAACCCACAAACCUUCCUGACAUAAAAUAGUUGCAUUCAUUCAUUCAUUCAUUUGCUCUGCCGCACAGGCUGGAGUGGCAGUGGCACGAUCUUAGCUUACUGCAACCUCCACCUCCCUGGUUCAAGCCAUUCUCCUGCCUCAGCUUCCCGAGUAGCUGGGAUUACAGGUGCGCACCACCACGCCCGGCUAAUUUUUGUAUUUUUUAGUAGAGACGAGGUUUCACCAUGUUGGCCAGGCUGGUCUCAAACUCCUGACCUCUACUGAUCUGCCUGCCUCGGCCUCCCAAAGUGCUGGGAUUACAGGCGUGAGCCACCACACCUGGCCAUAGUUGCCUUUUGUUUUGAGAUU